ensembl:lncRNA
CAGGGCAUUAUGUUAAGUGAUAUAAGCCAGUCUCAGAAAUACUAUAAGAUCUCAUUUACAUGUGAAAUCUAAAAUUCAAACUCUUAGAAAGAGUGAAAUGGUGUUUACAAGGGGAAUGAUGAAAAUGAGAUUUUAGUCAAAGUACAAAGUUUUAGAUAGGCAGGAUGAUAAAGUUCUAAAGAUCUAAUAGUUAACAGUAUUCUACAAAACUUAAAAUUUGCUAAGAAAGAUGUCUUAUCGUGAACUACUUGUUUAAAAGGUACACCAUCUUAAACAAAGACAGAGCAUUACUUUUACUCCUAUCUGAUCCCUCAGGAAUUUGGAAACUCUUGAGUAUUCUUCUCAUGCCAGUAUAAUUAGUUAUUUUCAAAAUUUCAUUAUGAAUGUGUUCUUCUUAUAAAAGGACACAAGUGGAAACACAGACUACAGUGCCAAGACUUGGACUGGAAUAUCGUAUUUGAGGGAGAUAUGUAUAGAUUCAGAUAAGACCAGAUAAUUGUGAGAAACUGAGAUUUACAUUAUGAAGCCCACAAAGACGCUGAAUCUUACCUUUCUUACAGGAUUCCAGCAAAGCAAUCUUUAAAAUUACUUAUCAGUCACAAUCUUAUUGAAUGUAGAUCAAUAAUCAGUCAGUGUCAUUGCCAUGUACUUCCCAACCAAAAGCAGGAUCAGGCAGGGGCUGGGCACUGAAAUUCCAGCAUUGGACCUCAGAUCAGACAGAAAACUGGGGCUGGCUAUCUGGGGAGAAACUAGGAUUGGUAGAAUGGAGACAGCCUGGAGGGACUGGAGUCUAGAAAUAACCACAUUUCAAGUUGCAAGCUGUGGAAUCCUGGUUGGGCUUGGAGACUAGACACAAUUGUUAGGCGGUGCUGGAGAGAAGGGGAGGAAUCCACCAUUUAACCCUGAACCAUGAUGAGUGCUCUCAGACUGCACUCUAACUUCCCCAGCUCCAGGGUUUACCCUUGAGCACUGACUGCUUAACAGCAGUUGUGGAAGAGCCCACAGUCCAUAGGCUACAGAGAAAGUAGAGCAAGUGGAGGGAAACUUUUGAGGAGGUGGAGGGAACUUGGGAAUAGCACAGUCCCCACAGCCAUAGCCAGAAGGCAAGCUAGGGAACAACGAGGUGAUUCCUAUAACAGAGUGGAAGGCUCGGGGGAUCUUGGAGAGCCCUUUAUGUGGGUGGAGAACUCCAUUUUCCCUAGGGUGGAGAACUCCAUUUUCCCUAGGGUAAAGAAGGUGUUUGGGGGAAGAGUUCAGAUGGUCUGGUUUUUGGCAGGAGAUUUCCUGAGCUGCCAGAGACCUCCAGGUUUCCUAGGGAGGCAGAGAAAAUUAUUUCUGAAGCUUCACAGAGGGGCAGGGUUCUUCAAGGGCCCUCGUGGUGGGCAAAGAGUUGCAAUCUCUCUACUGGAGUGGAGAAAAUUAUCUCAGAAACAGGAAAAGCUCCUGAGAUUUCACAAGGAGACUUCCAGGUGGAUGCAGACCUACAAUUGACCUAGCAGACAGAUCAUAAUUUUGGAAACAGCACAGUUAGUCUGGAAUUUGGCAGGAGGUCUCCUGAGCUGCAGGAGAUUUUUGGAUUUCCUAGGGGGCAAAAAACUUUUUCUGAAGCAGUGUGGAGGGGUAAGAUUCCACAAGUGCCUCCUGGGGCAGACAUAGAACCACAAUCUCUCUACAAAGGUGGAGAAAAUUACCUUGGAAACAAGGAAAGUUCCUGGGAGUCCACUUGGGGCCUUCUAGGUGGGUGCAGACCCACAAUUGGCCUAGCAGACAGAACAUGGUUUUGGAAAUGGUGCAGUCAGGAAUUCAGUAGGAAGUCUCAUGAGCUUCCAGAGACCUCCUGAUUUUCUAGGGGGUGGAGAAAGCUGUUUAUGAAGCAUUGCAGAGGGGCAAGAUUCUGCAAGUGCCCUCCAGGGUGAGCACAGAGCCACAAUCUCCCUAUCAGUUUGGGAAUAGUUACCUCAGAAACAGGAAAGGCUCCUGCGAGUCCACAAGGGUUCUUCUUAAUGGAAGCAGACCCAUAAUUUGCCUAAGAGACAGAAGGGUCUUUUGAAAACCACACAGACAGUCGAAUUCUGCGUGGUACCUACUGAGCUGAUGGAAACCCACAGAUUUUCUAAAGGGUGGAUAAAGUUAUUCUGAAGCAACACAGAGGGGCAGGAUUCUGAAAGGGGCCUUUGGGGUGGGCACAGAACAGCAACCUGCCUAAGGGACAGAGGGUGAUUUGGGAAACAGUGUGGAAUGUCUGGGUUCUGCAAGGGGCCUCCUGGGUAGGCAUAGAGCCCUGAUCUGCCUGGGGUGGUGGUGAAAAUUUUUAUAAGAAGCACAAAAAAUUCUGGAAAACUGCUUUGUUUUUAUAGCACAAUAGCUUAAUGGAGCACUCUACCAUUGGCCUGGUAGGGGGAGGGACGGCCAGAAUGGUGCAGGCCUUAUAGUUACAGGAAAAGUAUUUUACCAACUGUUAUGGAUCAUGCCCUGCCCCUAGGGGUACAGAGAACGCCCCCUAGUCUGAACAAAAAAGGAAUGAAGACAGAGAGGCACCUGCCCCCCAGCUACAGAGAGCAUUCCCUAGAAAUUCCUUGACAAAGUGAGGGAUGACAGGAUCAACUGCUGACUUUGCCAAAGAAAGGAAACCAUUCUGAGAGCUACCUGGAAGCAGAAGGCAUCACAGGAGCCAGUUGCUCCCCACCACAAAAGCAAUCCUGUGAGCCACUACAAACAUUCAUACAGACCCCAUCCAUAAGAGCCACCUGGCUUCAGGGGAGGUAGCAUAAUACCACUGCUCCCAUCACCUGUUCUAGGUACACACCAAUCACAGCAUCUGCAUACCUAUCAUCAAGGAGACAAUAAACAUAGAAAGUUAGUAUGAGACAACAAAGGAAUAAACUUCAGAAAAAGGAACAAGACAAAAACAAACAAAAACAACUAAAUGAAGAGAAGAUAGGUAAUCUACCUGAAAAAGUAUUCAGAGUGAUGAUGGUAAAGAUGAUCCAAGACCUUGGAAAAAAGAUGGUGACACAGAUAGAGAAGUUAUGAGAAAUGUUUAAUGAAGAGCUGGAGAAACUAAAGAACAAGCAAACUAAGAUGGAUAGAACAAUAUUUGAAAUGAAGAAUACACUAGACGAAAUCAACAGCAGAAUAAUGGAGGCAGAAGAAUGAAUAGGUGACGUGGAAGACACAAUGGUGGAGAUCAUUGCCACCAAAAUAUAAAUAAUAAAAUAAAAUAAAAUAAAGAGAAAAUAAUUAAAAGAACUUAGGAGAGCCUAAGAGAUCUAUGGGAAAACAUUAAACAUUCACAUCAUAGGGGUUCAAGAAAGAGAAGAGAGAGAAAAAGGGAAAGAAAAUACUUGAAAAUAUUAUACCUGAAAAUUUCCCUAAUAUGGGAAAGGAAACACUCACUCAAGUGAUGGAACACUCUCCUCAAGUAGAAGAAGCAUAGAGAAUCCCACAAAGGAUGAACCCAAAAAGAAACACAGUGAGACACAUCAAACUGACAUAUUUAAUUACAAAGAAAAGAGUUUAAAAGCAACAAGGGAAAAGCAACAAAAAACAUACAAAGGAAUUCCCAUUAGGGUAAUAGCUUAUCUUUCAGCAGAGAUCCUGCAAGCUAGACCCUGCAAGCUAGUAUUCCCAUUAGGAUAAUAACUGUUUUUUCAGUAGACCCUGCAAGCUAUUUAAAUAUAUCUUGCCAUAUAUAUAUAUAUAUAUAUAUAUGGCAAGAUAUAUUUAAAGAGAUGAAGGCGAGGAACCUAGAACCAAGAAUAUUUUACCCAACAAGGUUAUCAUUCACAUUUGAGGUAGAGAUCAAAAGCUUUUCAGAGAAAUGAAACCUAAAGGAAUUCAGCAACUCUAAACCUGUUCUACACCAACUACUAAAGGAACUUCUC